rnacentral:rRNA from 2 species
AUUAGAGUUUGAUCCUGGCUCAGGAUGAACGCUGGCGGCGUGCCUAAUACAUGCAAGUCGAGCGAACUGAUUAGAAGCUUGCUUCUAUGACGUUAGCGGCGGACGGGUGAGUAACACGUGGGCAACCUGCCUGUAAGACUGGGAUAACUCCGGGAAACCGGAGCUAAUACCGGAUAACAUUUUUUCUUGCAUAAGAGAAAAUUGAAAGAUGGUUUCGGCUAUCACUUACAGAUGGGCCCGCGGUGCAUUAGCUAGUUGGUGAGGUAACGGCUCACCAAGGCAACGAUGCAUAGCCGACCUGAGAGGGUGAUCGGCCACACUGGGACUGAGACGCGGCCCAGACUCCUACGGGAGGCAGCAGUAGGGAAUCUUCCGCAAUGGACGAAAGUCUGACGGAGCAACGCCGCGUGAGUGAUGAAGGCUUUCGGGUCGUAAAACUCUGUUGUUAGGGAAGAACAAGUACAAGAGUAACUGCUUGUACCUUGACGGUACCUAACCAGAAAGCCACGGCUAACUACGUGCCAGCAGCCGCGGUAAUACGUAGGUGGCAAGCGUUAUCCGGAAUUAUUGGGCGUAAAGCGCGCGCAGGCGGUUUCUUAAGUCUGAUGUGAAAGCCCACGGCUCAACCGUGGAGGGUCAUUGGAAACUGGGGAACUUGAGUGCAGAAGAGAAAAGCGGAAUUCCACGUGUAGCGGUGAAAUGCGUAGAGAUGUGGAGGAACACCAGUGGCGAAGGCGGCUUUUUGGUCUGUAACUGACGCUGAGGCGCGAAAGCGUGGGGAGCAAACAGGAUUAGAUACCCUGGUAGUCCACGCCGUAAACGAUGAGUGCUAAGUGUUAGAGGGUUUCCGCCCUUUAGUGCUGCAGCUAACGCAUUAAGCACUCCGCCUGGGGAGUACGGUCGCAAGACUGAAACUCAAAGGAAUUGACGGGGGCCCGCACAAGCGGUGGAGCAUGUGGUUUAAUUCGAAGCAACGCGAAGAACCUUACCAGGUCUUGACAUCCUCUGACAACUCUAGAGAUAGAGCGUUCCCCUUCGGGGGACAGAGUGACAGGUGGUGCAUGGUUGUCGUCAGCUCGUGUCGUGAGAUGUUGGGUUAAGUCCCGCAACGAGCGCAACCCUUGAUCUUAGUUGCCAGCAUUAAGUUGGGCACUCUAAGGUGACUGCCGGUGACAAACCGGAGGAAGGUGGGGAUGACGUCAAAUCAUCAUGCCCCUUAUGACCUGGGCUACACACGUGCUACAAUGGAUGGUACAAAGGGCUGCAAGACCGCGAGGUCAAGCCAAUCCCAUAAAACCAUUCUCAGUUCGGAUUGUAGGCUGCAACUCGCCUACAUGAAGCUGGAAUCGCUAGUAAUCGCGGAUCAGCAUGCCGCGAUGAAUACGUUCCCGGGCCUUGUACACACCGCCCGUCACACCACGAGAGUUUGUAACACCCGAAGUCGGUGGGGUAACCUUUAUGGAGCCAGCCGCCUAAGGUGGGACAGAUGAUUGGGGUGAAGUCGUAACAAGGUAGCCGUAAGUCGUAACAAGGUAACCGUAAUCUAGAUGCAUCGCGA